rnacentral:tRNA from 1 species
AGCCGUAUAGCUCAGUCGGUAGAGCACCGUCUUGAUAAGGCGGUUGUCGCUGGUUCGAUCCCAGCUGCGGCUACCA